rnacentral:lncRNA from 1 species
UGAAUCAGUUUAUUCAGAAUCUGAAGAAUAUGAAUGUUUUCUUGCAGAUUUAUUUACAGAUGAGCAGAGGCCAGAGUCACCAGAUUCUGCUAGCAGUGGUAGACCCUUGUCUCCAGACUCACCAAUACCACAGUUCUCAGCUUUUCUGUUUGACGUAGUGCCAGUGAUAGUCCACAGAUCAUCUUCUCUAGAGUCUCUGGCAUCAGAUACAGAUUAUGAGUUAAAUGUUCUCACGGAUGCCAUGUCUUUUCAAAGACCAUCAUCACCUGAUUCAGUGGCUUCAAUAGAUGAAGGAAGACCAUUAUCACCUGACUCGCCAGUUCCAGAAUUUAGAUUAUCAAUGGCCGAGAAUACACUUCCAGCCCUAGGAUAUAGAUCAUGUUCCCCUGAAUCAGUGUGUUCAGAAUAUGAAGAAUAUGAAUGUUUUCUUGAAGAUUUAUUCACAGAUGAGCAAAGACCAGAGUCACCAGAUUCUGCUAGCAGUGGUAGACCUUUGCCUCCAGAUUCACCAAUACCACAGUUCUCAGCUUUGCUGUUUGAUGUCGUACCAGCAAUAGGCCACAGAUCAUCUUCUCUAGAGUCUUUGGCAUCAGAUACAGAUUAUGAGUUAAAUGUUCUCACAGAUGUCGUGUCUUAUCAUAGAUCACCAUCAGCUGAUUCAGUGGUAUCAAUCGAUGAGGGAAGACCAUUAUCACCUGACUCACCAAUUCCAGAAUUCAGAUUACCAAUGGCAGAGAAUACACUUUCAGCCUUAGGAUAUAGAUCCUGUUCCCCUGAAUCAGCUUGUUCAGAAUCUGAAGAAUAUGAAUAUUGUCUUGGAGAUUUAUUCACAGUUGAGCAAAGACCUGAGUCACCAGAUUCAUUUGUAUCAGAAGUUGAGGACAGACCCCUUUCCCCAGAUUCUAUCCCUGAAUACAGGCCUAUGUCACCUGAGUAUGUGGCCUUAUUGUCAGAUAUUAGAGGGUAUUCACCAGAUUCUGCUAGCAGUGGUAGACCUUUGUCUCCAGAUUCACCAGUACCACAGUUCUCAGCUUUGCUGUUUGACAUUGUGCCAGCAGUAGGCCACAGAUCAUCUUCUGUAGAGUCUCUGGCAUCAGAUACAGAUUACGAGUUGGGAGUUCUCGCAGGUACAGCUU